rnacentral:rRNA from 2 species
UCUAUACAUGCAGUCGAGCGGAAGAUGGGAGCUUGCUCCCUGAUGUUAGCGGCGGACGGGUGAGUAACACGUGGGUAACCUGCCUGUAAGACUGGGAUAACUCCGGGAAACCGGGGCUAAUACCGGAUGCUUGUUUGAACCGCAUGGUUCAAACAUAAAAGGUGGCUUCGGCUACCACUUACAGAUGGACCCGCGGCGCAUUAGCUAGUUGGUGAGGUAAUGGCUCACCAAGGCAACGAUGCGUAGCCGACCUGAGAGGGUGAUCGGCCACACUGGGACUGAGACACGGCCCAGACUCCUACGGGAGGCAGCAGUAGGGAAUCUUCCGCAAUGGACGAAAGUCUGACGGAGCAACGCCGCGUGAGUGAUGAAGGUUUUCGGAUCGUAAAGCUCUGUUGUUAGGGAAGAACAAGUACCGUUCGAAUAGGGCGGUACCUUGACGGUACCUAACCAGAAAGCCACGGCUAACUACGUGCCAGCAGCCGCGGUAAUACGUAGGUGGCAAGCGUUGUCCGGAAUUAUUGGGCGUAAAGGGCUCGCAGGCGGUUUCUUAAUUCUGAUGUGAAACCCCCCGGCUCAACCGAGGAGGGUCGUUGAAAGCUGGAGAACUUGACUGCAAAGGAGGAGAGUAACUCCUCCACGUGUAGGUGAAAUGUGUAUAGAGGUGUGAGAAAAACGCGAUGUCAAAAGGCGUACACUCUCUGUCUCUAUACUGUACCCCUAGGGAGGGAAAAGCAUGGGAGAAGUGACAGGUUUUAGAUACCGUUGUUCAGUACAACUCUGUACGCAUUGAGUGCUAUAGUGUUAGGGGGGUCUCCGCUCCCUUUUGUGGUGCAGAUAAUCGCACUAAGCACUCCGCCUGGGGAGUACGGUCCCAAGACUGAAACUCAAAGGAAUUGAAGGGGGCCCGCACAAGCGGUGGACCAUGUGGUUUAAUUCGAAGCAACGCGAAGAACCUUACCAGGUCUUGACAUCCUCUGACAAUCCUAGAGAUAGGACGUCCCCUUCGGGGGCAGAGUGACAGGUGGUGCAUGGUUGUCGUCAGCUCGUGUCGUGAGAUGUUGGGUUAAGUCCCGCAACGAGCGCAACCCUUGAUCUUAGUUGCCAGCAUUCAGUUGGGCACUCUAAGGUGACUGCCGGUGACAAACCGGAGGAAGGUGGGGAUGACGUCAAAUCAUCAUGCCCCUUAUGACCUGGGCUACACACGUGCUACAAUGGACAGAACAAAGGGCAGCGAAACCGCGAGGUUAAGCCAAUCCCACAAAUCUGUUCUCAGUUCGGAUCGCAGUCUGCAACUCGACUGCGUGAAGCUGGAAUCGCUAGUAAUCGCGGAUCAGCAUGCCGCGGUGAAUACGUUCCCGGGCCUUGUACACACCGCCCGUCACACCACGAGAGUUUGUAACACCCGAAGUCGGUGAGGUAACCUUUUAGGAGCCAGCCGCCGAU